UGACCGGUAGUUCAGUGGUUAGAACAUCUGCCUGCAUACCAGAGGGUCACAGGUUUGAUUCCUGGUCAA
rnacentral:tRNA from 1 species